AGCCGCGGUAAUACAGAGGGUGCAAACGUUAAUCGGAAUUACUGGGCGUAAAGCGCGCGUAGGUGGUUUGUUAAGUUGGAUGUGAAAUCCCCGGGCUCAACCUGGGAACUGCAUUCAAAACUGACUGACUAGAGUAUGGUAGAGGGUGGUGGAAUUUCCUGUGUAGCGGUGAAAUGCGUAGAUAUAGGAAGGAACACCAGUGGCGAAGGCGACCACCUGGACUAAUACUGACACUGAGGUGCGAAAGCGUGGGGAGCAAACAGGAUUAGAUAC
rnacentral:rRNA from 1 species